GCUCUCUUGUUGAUCACAUGCGCAUGGCCAAAAAUAUGUGGCCGGCCAUGCCAUGGCACACAUGCAUCAUGCCUCUCCAUUUCCCUCUCUCUCACAUAAUUAUUCCACCUUGGGAAGCCUCUCACUUUUUGUCCCUUCCCCAUGCCACUAAUAAUUUCAGCUUUAGUCAAAUUCUUCCCCCACAAGCCAGCCUCCCAACUAACACAAUCAAUGAAGAGGCUACCUCCCAACCAACCCAAUCAAUGAGGAGGCAGCCCACCCCCUCUCCCUCUAUAUAAAGGGGCUUGGCAGCCCACCCCUCCUCACUUGCUCUCACUUUUCCACUCCCCACUCUUUCCUCCACUCCCACACACUCUCCUCCUAUCUCUCCCCACGAAAUUGCUGCUCCUCCUAGCUUCAUGGCCGGCCAUGGCCAUGGCCAUGAAAAGCUCCCCAUGAUGAAGCUCUCCCCCUCCCUCAAGCUCCUCCUCUCCAUGAGAGCAUCCCUCUCCUUUUUCUCCCCAACCCUAGAUGGUUUUCUCUCCUCUUCUUCUUCCUCCCUUGCUAAGUUUGGAUCUUGAUGCAGGUGCAUGUUGGUCCAAGCAUGGAGAAGCUUCACCUAUCCUCAGAUCUGAAGCUCUUGACCAAAAUCCAAAUCGAGUGAUUCGAAGUUCCGCAGAUAGGUAUUGAAAAUAUCUACAACUUGGCGUUGGUCUCAUCCUCAAAUUCGUUACGGAUUUUGCAUGGGGAUACUUAGUUGUGCCAUGGUGAUACCUAGAGAGGCAAUUGCUAAGUCGUGGCACUCUCAUACCUUUACUAGAUGCGAACAAUUUCGGAGGAAAAGAAGAAGAAGUGGAAUCGGACAAGGAUUUUAUUUGUACUGUGGGAAUUCUUAUUUGAUGGAGUUGAAGAAGUCCAGGGACAAAUAAGCCAAGGCAAGCCAUCUCUUGAUCUCUGAAUGUUUGAUCACAUAUUGUGGUUACUUUGUUGUUGUUCUUGUCUCUCGAUCUAUCUUGUGUUGUUUCUACUUAUGUUGAUGGAGCAUGCUCACCAUGAGCAUGUUUAUUCUCUUUGACACCUCACCUACAACCCCCUUUAGUGAA